GGAGGUGGUUGAGAUGAAUAUGG
rnacentral:siRNA from 1 species